CAAAAGCAGGAGGGAAGAAAUGGUGAUUAAAAUAGAGCUGAAAACAGAAUUUAAGAAAAAUGUACACUAUAUUGACAACAAAAAAGUUCUUAGUUCACCUGAAGAUUCUUUCCAAUAUACCAACAGAAAGACGUUUAAAAAUGAAAAAAAUGGAAUCUGCUUUUGAAUGAAGAUAAGAGAAUGUCCACUCUGUCAUUGUUUUCACAGAAAGUUCUCAUAGACUGGAAUUGCAUUCAUGGAAGGCGCGUUCCUUUUGCUCACUGGGAUCAACCAUACGUACCAUCUUUUUCUGAUCCCAUAGACUAAGCAGAAUGCUUUAUACUAAAGUGAAACCUAACCCUGUCUACUCCCAGGCAAAUGGCACUGGAAUUUAAUUCAUUCUACAUAUGCUGUGGGAGUCCUGUAUCAUUCUGUAUCUUGCCAGGAGAACAGUUGCUACAGUGGAGCGGCAAAAUGAAGAUAUCCAGUUAUUUGUCCUCCAAGUAAAGAGAAAAGAUGUUCAAACUGAAGGCCACUACAGUUUGAUUAGGCUAUCCAUUUAGCUGAAGAUGCAAGAACUGGGAUACUAUAUUCAUCAACAGAAGAAAAUAAAACCACAUGGUGCAAGUAGUUCUUUACAUGGGACUUGAUGAUAGCCAUAUAUAUGAAGAUGCCAGCAUCUUAGUACCGGAGUGACCAUCAAACAAAACAGCCUCUUUGUAUUAUAAGCAGAAUUGCCUACUAGUUAUGCAGAAGUGAAAGGCGCCUGAGAAAUGAAGGUACAAAAGGGACUGCCUGCUGAGAAGACAGGCAGUGCUCAAAAUCCAAGAGAAACAUGAUUGCUCCACCUUCUUCUGCAUAAUGAGCCAGAAUCAUAGGGGAAACGACUGUCAAGAGAGUUGGCAAUGUCAGAUGCCUUUGAAACUGCUCUGCUCUGUUUUCAAGACGGGAGCAGAAGUGUAUUAGAAAGGAUAGCCCCUGAAGGAUGAUCAGAUGUUUACAGUAACCUCCAAAACCGAAGCAAUGGCUUAGAACUUUCAGAUGUCUAGUAUGGGGUUUUGAAGUAAAGGGAAUCUAAAUCUGAGGAGGAUUCCUCAUUAGAAGUGAAAACAAAUUCUCAAGAAUGUACUCUUGUACAAGGAGGAGGCAUGGGACAGAAAAGCUUACAAUCAAUGAACCUGGGACUGAUACUUCGAAUGUUGA